AGGACGAACGCUGGCGGCGUGCUUAACACAUGCAAGUCGAGCGGUGAUCCUCCUUCGGGAGGUGAUCAGCGGCGAACGGGUGAGUAACACGUGGGCAACCUGCCCCUCACACUGGGAUAACCUCGGGAAACCGGGGCUAAUACCGGAUACGACCUCGAGCGGCAUCUCUUGAGGUGGAAAGCUCCGACGGUGAGGGAUCGGGCCCGCGGCCUAUCAGCUUGGUUGGGUGGGGUAAUGGCCUACCGAAGGCGACGACGGGUA
rnacentral:rRNA from 1 species